GAUGAACGCUGGCGGCGUGCCUAAUACAUGCAAGUCGAGCGGACGGACGAGAAGCUCGCUUCUCUGAUGUUAGCGGCGGACGGGUGAGUAACACGUGGAUAACCUACCUAUAAGACUGGGAUAACUUCGGGAAACCGGAGCUAAUACCGGAUAAUAUUUUGAACCGCAUGGUUCAAAAGUGAAAGACGGUCUUGCUGUCACUUAUAGAUGGAUCUGCGCUGCAUUAGCUAGUUGGUAAGGUAACGGCUUACCAAGGCAACGAUGCAUAGCCGACCUGAGAGGGUGAUCGGCCACACUGGAACUGAGACACGGUCCAGACUCCUACGGGAGGCAGCAGUAGGGAAUCUUCCGCAAUGGGCGAAAGCCUGACGGAGCAACGCCGCGUGAGUGAUGAAGGUCUUCGGAUCGUAAAACUCUGUUAUUAGGGAAGAACAUAUGUGUAAGUAACUGUGCACAUCUUGACGGUACCUAAUCAGAAAGCCACGGCUAACUACGUG
rnacentral:rRNA from 1 species